AGAGUUUGAUCCUGGCUCAGGACGAACGCUGGCGGCGUGCUUAACACAUGCAAGUCGAACGGAAAGGCCCUUCGGGGUACUCGAGUGGCGAACGGGUGAGUAACACGUGGGUGAUCUGCCCUGCACUCUGGGAUAAGCCUGGGAAACUGGGUCUAAUACCGGAUAGGACCACACACUUCAUGGUGAGUGGUGCAAAGCUUUUGCGGUGUGGGAUGAGCCCGCGGCCUAUCAGCUUGUUGGUGGGGUAAUGGCCUACCAAGGCGACGACGGGUAGCCGGCCUGAGAGGGUGACCGGCCACACUGGGACUGAGAUACGGCCCAGACUCCUACGGGAGGCAGCAGUGGGGAAUAUUGCACAAUGGGCGCAAGCCUGAUGCAGCGACGCCGCGUGAGGGAUGACGGCCUUCGGGUUGUAAACCUCUUUCAGCACAGACGAAGCGCAAGUGACGGUAUGUGCAGAAGAAGGACCGGCCAACUACGUGCCAGCAGCCGCGGUAAUACGUAGGGUCCGAGCGUUGUCCGGAAUUACUGGGCGUAAAGAGCUCGUAGGUGGUUUGUCGCGUUGUUCGUGAAAACUCACAGCUUAACUGUGGGCGUGCGGGCGAUACGGGCAGACUUGAGUACUGCAGGGGAGACUGGAAUUCCUGGUGUAGCGGUGGAAUGCGCAGAUAUCAGGAGGAACACCGGUGGCGAAGGCGGGUCUCUGGGCAGUAACUGACGCUGAGGAGCGAAAGCGUGGGGAGCGAACAGGAUUAGAUACCCUGGUAGUCC
rnacentral:rRNA from 1 species